CCUACGGGGGGCAGCAGUGAGGAAUAUUGGUCAAUGGACGAGAGUCUGAACCAGCCAAGUAGCGUGAAGGAUGACUGCCCUAUGGGUUGUAAACUUCUUUUAUAAAGGAAUAAAACGAGGCACGUGUGCCUUUUUGCAUGUACUUUAUGAAUAAGGAUCGGCUAACUCCGUGCCAGCAGCCGCGGUAAUACGGAGGAUCCGAGCGUUAUCCGGAUUUAUUGGGUUUAAAGGGAGCGUAGGUGGGUUGUUAAGUCAGUUGUGAAAGUUUGGGGCUCAACCGUAAAAUUGCAAUUGAUACUGGCAGUCUUGAGUACAGUUGAGGUAGGCGGAAUGCGUGGUGUAGCGGUGAAAUGCUUAGAUAUCACGAAGAACCCCGAUUGCGAAGGCAGCUUACCAAACUGUGACUGACAUUGAUGCACGAAAGUGUGGGUAUCAAACAGGAUUAGAUACCCCUGUAGUC
rnacentral:rRNA from 1 species